UACGGGGGGGGCAAGCGUUGUUCGGAAUUACUGGGCGUAAAGGGCUCGUAGGUGGCCAACUAAGUCAGACGUGAAAUCCCUCAGCUUAACUGGGGAACUGCGUCUGAUACUGGAUGGCUUGAGAUUGGGAGAGGGAUGCGGAAUUCCAGGUGUAGCGGUGAAAUGCGUAGAUAUCUGGAGGAAUACCGGUGGCGAAGGCGGCAUCCUGGACCGACAUUGACGCUGAACGGCGAAAGCUAGGGGAGCAAACGG
rnacentral:rRNA from 1 species